rnacentral:lncRNA from 13 species
GAGGGGUAGAGAUAAAUUGAUGGGGAGUAGGGUUAAACUGAUGGGGAGUAGGGUUAAACUGAUGAGGGGUAUUGUUAAACAGAUGAGGGGUAGUUUUAAACUGAUGAGGGGUAGAGUUAAAUUGAUGAGGGGUAGUGUUAAAGUUAUGAGGGGUAGAGUUAAACUGAUGGGGGGUAGUGUUAAACUGAUGAAGGGUAGAGUUAAGAUUAAGAGGGGUAGAGUUAAAUUGAUGAGGGGUAGUGUUAAAGUUAUGAGGGGUAGAGUUAAACUGAUGGGGAGUAGGGUUAAACUGAUGGGGAGUAGGGUUAAACUGAUGGGGAGUUUGGUUAAAUUGAUGGGGAGUAGGGUUAAACUGAUGGGAGGUAGGGUUAAACUGAUUGGGAGUAGGGUUAAAAAGUUCCCGGAGUAGGGUUAAAGUGUUGAGGAGUAGUAUUAAACUGAUGAGGGCUAGUGUUAAACUGAUGACGGGUAGUGUUAGACUGAUGAGGGGUAGUGUUAAACUGAUGAGGACUAGUGUUAAACUGAUGAGGACUAGUUUUAAACUGAUGAGGGGUAUUGUUAAACUGAUGAGGGGUAGAGUUAAAUUGAUGAGGGGUAUUGUUAAACUGAUGAGGGGUAGAGUUAAAUUGAUGAGGGGCAGAGUUAAAUUUAAGAGGGGUAGUGUUAAACUGAUGGGGGGUAGUGUUAAACUGACGAGGGGUAGAGUUAAAUUGAUAGGGAGUAGGGUUAAANNNNNNNNNNAGAUUAAGAGGGGUAGAGAUAAAUUGAUGGGGAGUAGGGUUAAACUGAUGGGGAGUAGGGUUAAACUGAUGAGGGGUAUUGUUAAACAGAUGAGGGGUAGUUUUAAACUGAUGAGGGGUAGAGUUAAAUUGAUGAGGGGUAGUGUUAAAGUUAUGAGGGGUAGAGUUAAACUGAUGGGGGGUAGUGUUAAACUGAUGAAGGGUAGAGUUAAGAUUAAGAGGGGUAGAGUUAAAUUGAUGAGGGGUAGUGUUAAAGUUAUGAGGGGUAGAGUUAAACUGAUGGGGAGUAGGGUUAAACUGAUGGGGAGUAGGGUUAAACUGAUGGGGACUUUGGUUAAAUUGAUGGGGAGUAGGGUUAAACUGAUGGGAGGUAGGGUUAAACUGAUUGGGAGUAGGGUUAAACUGAUGGGGAGUAGGGUUAAACUGAUCCGGAGUAGGGUUAAAGUGUUGAGGAGUAGUAUUAAACUGAUGAGGGCUAGUGUUAAACUGAUGACGGGUAGUGUUAGACUGAUGAGGGGUAGUGUUAAACUGAUGAGGACUAGUGUUAAACUGAUGAGGACUAGUUUUAAACUGAUGAGGGGUAUUGUUAAACUGAUGAGGGGUAGAGAUAAAUUGAUGGGGAGUAGGGUUAAACUGAUGGGGAGUAGGGUUAAACUGAUGGGGAGUAGGGUUAAACUGAUGGGGAGUAGGGUUAAACUGAUGGGAGGUAGGGUUAAACUGAUUGGGAGUAGGGUUAAACUGAUGGGGAGUAGGGUUAAACUGAUGGGGAGUAGGGUUAAAGUGAUGAGGAGUAGUAUUAAACUGAUGAGGGCUAGUGUUAAACUGAUGAGGGGUAUUGUUAAACUGAUGAGGGGUAGAGUGAAAUUGAUGAGGGCCAGUGUUAAACUGAUGAGGGGUAUUGUUGAACUAAUGAGGGGUAGUGUUAAACUGAUGAGGGGUAGUGUUAAACUGAUGAGGGGUAGAGUGAAAUUGAUGAGGGGUAUUGUUAAACUGAUGAGGGGUAGAGUUAAAUUGAUGAGGGGUAUUGUUAAACUGAUGAGGGGUAGAGUUAAAUUGAUGAGGGGCAGAGUUAAAUUUAAGAGGGGUAGUGUUAAACUGAUGGGGGGUAGUGUUAAACUGACGAGGGGUAGAGUUAAAUUGAUAGGGAGUAGGGUUAAACUGAUGGGAGGUAGGGUUAAACUGAUUGGGAGUAGGGUUAAAUUGAUGGGGAGUAGUGUUAAAGUGAUGGGGAGUAGGGUUAAACUGAUGGGGAGUAGGGUUAAACUGAUGGGAGGUAGGGUUAAACUGAU